rnacentral:rRNA from 1 species
CCUAGGGGCGGCAGCAGUGAGGAAUAUUGGUCAAUGGCCGGAAGGCUGAACCAGCCAUGCCGCGUGAAGGUCAGUGCCCUAUGGGCGUUAAACUUCUUUUGUGCGGGAGCAAUAAUGGUCACGUGUGGCCAGACGAGAGUGCCGUACGAAUAAGCAUCGGCUAACUCCGGGCCAGCAGCCGCGGUAAUACGGAGGAUGAGAGCGUUAUCCGGAUUUAUUGGGUUUAAAGGGUGCGUAGGGGGACUGUUAAGUCAGCGGUAAAAGCCCGGGGCUAAACCCCGGAGAGCCGUUGAAACUGGCUAUGUUGAGAGGUCGAGAGGUAUGCGGAAUGCGCAGUGUAGCGGUGAAAUGCUUAGAUAUUGCGAAGAACUCCGAUUGCGAAGGCAGCAUACCGGCGGCGAUCUGACGCUGAGGCACGAAAGCGUGGGUAUCGAACAGGAUUAGAUACCCGGGUAGUC